UGACCGUGAACUGCAGUCAUCACUAGGGAGUUUAUUUGGAGACCAUCCCUCUUGUCACGCCCAAACAGGACGCUGAUCUUGGAAUCCGGACCGCCCUUCAUCAUUCUCACGUACUUCCCUUGUUUGUACUGUAAGGCCCAAUCACGUCAUGCUGGAUUGAAUUUGGGUCUUAUGACAAGAUGUUCCCGACUACUGACGCAGCAUUUAUGUGGAAUGUCAGGCGGCAGCAAAACAAAGCUGGGCUCUGCACGUCUUCACCGACUACUUGUGCACAGACGGUUUCAGCACUUGAGCAGCCAAGCUGUAGGACAGAUGAGGGGGGAGACGGCGGCGACACCCUCCCCCCCAAUCCUCCCAUCAGUCUUCCCUGAUGCCACAUUGAAAUACCUCAACAUAUUUGAAUGAUUGUUCCAUAAAAUCUAGCCAUCAGUUGUCUUACAGGAUUGAUCGUAAUCACUUCUUAUCAUCAUGAGCUUGUCAUCGAGUUUUUUAAAGACCCAUUUAUUUUGA